CACAAAGGGGGAAUCAGGGUCUGUCUCCCACGCUGAUAUACAAAGCUUAAGAGAAGGUACUUCUCUAUGCGGCUACUAAAUUAUGAUUAGGUAAGCCUGCUGCUGUUGGCAGCCAUCUUCCCCAGUGGCACAGAGGAUGUUGUCAAGUCCAGAAGAGAAAGAGGCCAGCACACCAAGAGACCAAGACACCUGAGCCUCUGAAUCUGGCAGUGCCUAGGGGGGUCCUAGGCCUGUCCGGGAUGGUUAAGGUACGAGAAAGAGAGAAUUGAGGGGCCCCAGCUAACCGCCAGGACCAACCAUCAAGCACGUGAGUGAGGCCAUCUGGGUCCUUCAGAUCCAGCCCAUCCCACAGCUGGUUGCAGCAACACAGGAGAGCCGGGGGGCCAGCAGAGGAACCAAGCACCAGCCCACAGGAUGUAAGAAAUGCUUUGAUGAACAUCCUUGAACAUACUUCUUUGCGUCCCUCAAGGAUAAUUUCCUCAAGAUUAUAUCCUGCAUAGUGGAGUUCCUGCAUCAAACAUUUGCCUGUUUUCAAGGUUCUGAGAACAGAGUUUGGUGUCUUCUGUUGCUGUUUUGGUGGGAAUGAAGCUGUUGCCUGGAAAUGAGAUAGGAAAGCCCCGUGAUUUCUUCACAAUCCUCUGCUACACUUGUUUGCAGACACAACGUAGGUUGAAG